rnacentral:rRNA from 1 species
GACGAACGCUGGCGGCGUGCUUAACACAUGCAAGUCGAACGGAAAGGCCCUGCUUUUGUGGGGUGCUCGAGUGGCGAACGGGUGAGUAACACGUGAGUAACCUGCCCUUGACUUUGGGAUAACUUCAGGAAACUGGGGCUAAUACCGGAUAGGAGCUCCUGCUGCAUGGUGGGGGUUGGAAAGUUUCGGCGGUUGGGGAUGGACUCGCGGCUUAUCAGCUUGUUGGUGGGGUAGUGGCUUACCAAGGCUUUGACGGGUAGCCGGCCUGAGAGGGUGACCGGCCACAGUGGGACUGAGAUACGGCCCAGACUCCUACGGGAGGCAGCGGUGGGGAAUAUUGCACAAUGGGCGGAAGCCUGAUGCAGCAACGCCGCGUGCGGGAUGACGGCCUUCGGGUUGUAAACCGCUUGCGCCUGUGACGAAGCGUGAGUGACGGUAAUGGGUAAAGAAGCACCGGCUAACUACGUG